rnacentral:tRNA from 1 species
UGGGUUGUGGCUCAGUGGUAGAGCACUCACCUAGCAUGUGUGAGACCCUGGGUUCAAUCCUCAGCACCGCAU